rnacentral:rRNA from 1 species
CCUACGGGAGGCAGCAGUCGAGGAUCUUCGGCAAUGGACGAAAGUCUGACCGAGCAACGCCGCGUGUGCGAUGAAGGCCUUCGGGUUGUAAAGCACUGUCGAGGGGAAACAAGCCGUAAGGUUGAGUGACCCCUGGAGGAAGCACGGGCUAAGUUCGUGCCAGCAGCCGCGGUAAGACGAACCGUGCAAACGUUAUUCGGAAUCACUGGGCUUAAAGGGCGCGUAGGCGGGUAAUCAAGUCAAUGGUGAAAUCCUCCAGCUUAACUGGAGAAGUGCCUUUGAUACUGGUUGUCUAGAGGGAGGUAGGGGCAUGUGGAACUUCAGGUGGAGCGGUGAAAUGCGUAGAUAUCUGAAGGAACGCCAGUGGCGAAAGCGAUGUGCUGGACCUCUUCUGACGCUGAGGCGCGAAAGCUAGGGGAUCAAACGGGAUUAGAUACCCCGGUAGUCCUAGCCCUAAACUAUGGGUACUAGAUUGUGGACUUUCAUGGGUUCACAGUCGAAGCAAAAGUGUUAAGUACCCCGCCUGGGGAGUAUGGUCGCAAGGCUGAAACUCAAAGGAAUUGACGG